AACUCUUGGGGCGCAAAGCAUGAUUAUGAGUACAGGUGUGUGACGGAGUUCACCACGCCCACACGCGUGACCACGCCCACAGCGGUUUGCCAACACAUUUCCUAGGUAACAGAGCAGCUGAUCUACACCUGAUUCAUUCUUCCAAGCGCGGACAUUAUGAGGAGAGUCUGUUUGAAGUAAGAGUGUUUCCUGGUCAGUGCAGUUUAGUUUUGUUUGCUGAAGUGAGUGGAAAGGCAGAACUUAGAUGAAAAGAUUCAGCUGUAAAUAAAAGAGGAAAUAAAUCCAUUCAGCUGGUGAUUUAAGACUGGAUCCUGCUCAUCGAAAUCCGCUUUACCGCCAAGAACGUCACACACCUUCCUGCUGUCUUUGUAUCGCCAAUGCACCGUCUGCAGCUUCUCUCCAAAUGUACACGUUUGAAUGCUGCUCUUUGAAACUGGCUUCACCACCACUGAUGUCACACACUGUCCUGGUGCCUUCGUCUCGCGAAAACACGACCUGCGGAUUCUGUGUGAAAGUACACGGUUUGUGUGAAUCUUAACACCUUAUCAGAUGACUCCUGGUCACAUUCCUGCUGUAGAAGAAGCUCUAGGAGGAUGGUACAGAAAUUAUUUACUCCAAAUCAGCUAUUUACUCCAUAAUAAACAAUUAUUACAGUAGAAAAUAAAUACAUAAUAAAUAAUUACAGAUUAGUAGUUGUAAAUAUAAAGAUGAAAACAUGGGCAAAAUCUCAGAAUUGUACUUUUUAUAUAAAUCUACUGUGUUAUAAUGCAACUGAUGAUGUAAAUUCCAUGAAGCUGUACUUUAUUCUACAAACUUAGUUUUGUGGAUUGAUGAGUAGCAGUCUACAUGUCUUCUUUUAUUCUGCUCUGAUGUGGCAAAAACAGGAGAGUCGUAGAUAGAGCUGGAGAAAAGAAGAAAGUCAGGACAGAAUGUUGGACCAUUUUUAAAGAAGAGAAUUAAAAAAUGCUAACUAGAUAGAUAUUUUUGUCUAUUUACUAAUGCAGCAGGCUAACAUUUUAUUCAAACCGAAACCUGUAUCAGCCAGCUGUUGCAACCUUGCAUUUAUAAUUUGAACAGCACUGCCUAAAAGAAGAAGGUUAAUGUAAUGUUAGUAAGGUAAGUGUCCUUGUAAUAGAAUAAAAAUAUAUUCUUAAGCCCUACGGUUAUCUAAGUGUCAUAUCCUACUUAAAGAGAACUGUACUGUUCUCAGGUCAGUGACAAAAUAAAAACAAACACAUU